CCACAUUUGUGUAGGACGGUUAAAACUAAACAUUGAAGAUGACUUCUCAAAAUAGUUAGCUCUGUACCAAUAUAUGUGUCAAAGAAUAGUGGGAUCAGAAAAUUAUGUUAGGACAAUACGAAUGAUGAACACUGUUAGGGACAAUUUAGUAAUCAAUGAUUUAUCCGUUCCUAUUACCGGAGGAAGUUUUGGAGAGGGACUUGAUUUACGUAUGGGUGACAUUGAUAUCGCACAUGCGCACAAAUAUAUCGAUGUUUUUGAAGAUCGGAAAUUCGCUUUUGAUUAUCGCAAAACAUAUUUGAAAAUGGAAAGUAAGACGAUACAAGCAGGCUACACUAUGUUACAUUGUAUUUUUAUUAACAAUAACAACGCAUUUCAAAGCUGUAAGAAGAUAAAUGGGAAAUAUUACUUUUCAAACGCAUUAUUAAAACAAAGGUUUUUAGUCGAUCAAAACAUGCUUACCGUUAUUCGUGGACCUUGCCUUUCAAAUGAACAGGGAGACUAUGACUUUGCACAACCAUUGCAUAGUAAAUUAUGGAUAUCUGCUGCACAAAACUGGAAAACAAGAUAACAAAACGAAUGGCCAAGUUAUGAAGUCAAGCAGAGUAUUGUAUUUUUUUUUUUUAUUUUACUUCAUUGAUAUAUUUCGGAGUUUAGUAUGACGUCCAUUAUCAGUGAACUAGUACACAUUUUUAUUUAGGGACCAGCUGAAGCACGCCUCUGUGUGCGGGAUUUUCUCGCUGUGUUGAAGAUUCACUGGUGGCUGUUUUCUGCUCUUUGUUCGGGUUGUUGUCUCUUUGACACAUUCCCCAUUUACAUUCUCAAUUUUAUUUUUAUGUAUUGUAUUGUUCGUUCCAGUAGGCUAUAAAUGAUCUCCAAACGGAAAACUUCAAUAGAGGAUAUCCUUCAAUGUGGGUGAAAAACUAUUAAUUUAUACCUUUACUCAUUCACAACUGCUGUGCUAUUGUGUUAUGAAAAUUCUUCUGAAAGACGUCAUUAAUGAAAACAUAGAUGUUAA